GAUGAACGCUGGCGGCGUGCCUAAUACAUGCAAGUCGAGCGAACGGACGAGAAGCUUGCUUUUCUGAUGUUAGCGGCGGACGGGUGAGUAACACGUGGAUAGCCUACCUAUAAGACUGGGAUAACUUCGGGAAACCGGAGCUAAUACCGGAUAAUAUUUUGAACCGCAUGGUUCAAAAGUGAAAGACGGUCUUGCUGUCACUUAUAGAUGGAUCCGCGCUGCAUUAGCUAGUUGGUAAGGUCACGGCUUACCAAGGCAACGAUGCAUAGCCGACCUGAGAGGGUGAUCGGCCACACUGGAACUGAGACACGGUCCAGACUCCUACGGGAGGCAGCAGUAGGGAAUCUUCCGCAAUGGGCGAAAGCCUGACGGAGCAACGCCGCGUGAGUGAUGAAGGUCUUCGGAUCGUAAAACUCUGUUAUUAGGGAAGAACAUAUGUGUAAGUAACUGUGCACAUCUUGACGGUACCUAAUCAGAAAGCCACGGCUAACUACGUG
rnacentral:rRNA from 1 species